rnacentral:sRNA from 1 species
GAUGUGAGUGUGAUCUGGCUGCAACAUCACCCCAUUGAUCGCCAAGGUUGAUUCGGCUGAUCUGGCUGUCUAGGUGGAUGUCCCCUUUCUCCCUCACCACUC